rfam:Ricinus communis cultivar Hale ctg_1100012331589, whole genome shotgun sequence.
AGUCUGUGGUGCGGGCAACACUGGAGCAAAUCAUUGUACCUCUCCCAAGCAUCGUACAUGCUUUCGUCAUUGAACUGCACAAAAGAAGAUAUAUCAUUUCUCAAUUU